GGAGAGCGACGACCGGCGGUCCAGUCGGGUCGGCGCCGGGGAGCGACGACCGGAGGUCGGAGCCGGCGGUCGGAUCUGGUCGGCUCCGACGUUCAGCGACGGCGCCGGGGACCGGGCCGGUACGCUUGGGAUGGAGAGGGGGGUAGAGAGAGAGAGAGAGGGAGAAGGAGAACCGGCGACCGGAGGCCGUAGCCGGCGAUCUGAUCAGCGCCGGCGACCGUCGGUCGGAGCCGGCGGCCGGAUCGGGUCGGCGACGGCGCCGGGAACCGGGGCCGGUAAGCUGGGGGUGGGGAGAG
rnacentral:lncRNA from 1 species